rnacentral:tRNA from 16 species
GAGCAGAGGACUGAAAAUCCUCUGCAC